rnacentral:rRNA from 1 species
AGCGUGGAGACAGGUGGUGCAUGGCUGUCGUCAGCUCGUGUCGUGAGAUGUUGGGUUAAGUCCCGCAACGAGCGCAACCCUCACCCCUUGUUGCCACCAGGUCAGGCUGGGCACUCUAGGGGAACUGCCCCGGUCAACGGGGAGGAAGGUGGGGACGACGUCAAGUCAUCAUGCCCCUUACGCCCUGGGCUGCACACGUGCUACAAUGGCCGGUACAAAGGGAUGCAAGACCGUGAGGUGGAGCUAAACCCAAAAAGCCGGUCUAAGUUCAGAUUGGAGUCUGCAACUCGACUCCAUGAAGGAGGAAUCGCUAGUAAUCGCGCAUCAGCACGGCGCGGUGAAUACGUUCCCGGGCCUUGUACACACCGCCCGUCACACCACGAAAGCCAGCUGUACUCGAAGUCGCUGAG